rnacentral:lncRNA from 1 species
AUGGUCGGGGAUGUUAGGUGGAAGGGUGUGCAUGAUUUGGUUCGGAUCAAUUUACAGAUUUUUCUGAAAUUAAACUGGCUUAAAUUGGUUUCUAUAAUUGAAAUCGAAAUUGGACCGACAAUACGUUACAAUCUGGUUAAAUCGGUCUAAAAAAUUUGGUUCAAUUCGUUUUAUCGGAUUAUGAGCUAAAUAAGCUUCCAUCAAAUAGGCUGCUAAAUAGGAUGGGUUAAAUGGGCACUAAUCGGCGACAUGCUAAAUGGGCUAAAUGGACUAGUAGGAAAUUACUUAGAAGGAUUGCUAAGAGAAGCAAAGAAAGGAUUGAGAGGAGGGAGCUGGUGGAUACAAAAUUUUUCCAGUUCAAACCUUUUCUCAAAUCAACAUCAAAUUGGAUUUUAAAAAAUCGAUUGAAACUGAACCGGAAAGACAAGUCCUGAUCAAGUUCAUGAUUCAGCCGAUUUUUUGAACAUCACUUGUUAGGCGGAGUCAACUUGCUGCUAUGUUAAAGGGAAGAGUGACAUACCAAUAAGAUGGUGGUCCUUUAUAAAUAAUACAUAAGCCUGCAAGUUG